CACGCCGUAAACGAUGGAUACUAGGUGUAGGAGGUAUCGACCCCUUCUGUGCCGGAGUUAACACAAUAAGUAUCCCACCUGGGGAGUACGGCCGCAAGGUUGAAACUCAAAGGAAUUGACGGGGGCCCGCACAAGCAGUGGAGUAUGUGGUUUAAUUCGAAGCAACGCGAAGAACCUUACCAGGGCUUGACAUCCCUUGAAAGCUGUAGAGAUACAGUUUCUCUUCGGAGCAAGGAGACAGGUGG
rnacentral:rRNA from 1 species